AGGACCGUCGGGGGGGGGGGGGGGUCGAUAUCUUUGUUGGGGUGCGGGGGCCCCGGACGGCGACCUUCUUGCCUGCGGUCGGAGGAGAUUCCACCCACAGAGUUGGGCUGUCCCCUCCAGACAGCCUGUCUGCACUGUGGAAAGAUGGGCGCCUUCUCUUCCUCCAGAGGGUGUCUGCAGGGUUAAAAAUGCUGAUGUACUCUAUGCUGUUUGUCUUCCUCCGUUUUGCACCUCAUUCUGAAAACAAAAGUAACUAGUUAUUUUGGGUCAGUAAGGUAGGCACUUCACACUACUAGAAGUUAAUAAAACUGUAGCUGGUAAACGAAUUCUCUUAUUAAAGAAAGGCUAGGCACGAUGAUUCCAGACGAUGAACGCAUGGUAGAAAUAGUCUCUUCAAUGUGAGCAGUUUUAUGAGGAAUGAUCUUACAUGUCACGUUUCCCGGGAACAAGUCACAAGAUGAAUGGCUUUGUUUUAUUUUUAAACAAAGAUAACACGUAUUGGUCUCAUUUAUCUAUGAAUAUAACAAUGGGAAGGGCUCAUGCAAAUAAUUCUGUUACUCAAGAAUACCUUUGAAGGUAACGGUGGUAAGUAUACAAAAAGGAACAAAGUGUUUACUAUUUUAUUUCUGACCUUCAGUAUGACUAUAGAAGUGUUUCAAGCUUAAUAGAUAUAAAAUAGAUUAGACAGGUUUACAUUUAGGCUUAAUUUCAAAACUUCAAUUAUUUUUAGGAGUUGGUUAUACAAAGUGUUUUUGUGUCUUAUACAAAAUUAUUGUGACUUGCUCAUUUAUAUUUCUUUAGGCAAUAACCUCCUCAAUUUGAGUUACUAUGGAAGACAAAUUUGUGGGGGGAAGAAACACCAACAAAUUUCUUAGAAAUAUGUGAGAGUGAGACCUAUGUAAUGCACUGAUUUCUGUAAUUUGUCAUGUGUUUGGGUAGUUUGAAGUUUUUCUAGCCUUAUAUCCAAUGGACAUCUAACCAUGGAGAAAUGAAAUGAAUCUAGUUGAUAGCUACAGUAAGUAAGAUUUCAUGAGUUAACCCUUAAGUUUUUUGGGGGAGGGAGGAUCUAUACUAUUUUUUUAGAAAUUUCAUUUACAAAAUUAAUAUUUGAGGAGUCAGUGUUGUUAGCUUCUAAAACAAUAACCUCAGUGUCCCAAAGAAAACACUGGGUUAGGAAAACUGAAAAGUGGAAUUAGGACGGCCUUAAGUAGAUACAGAAACCUACUCUUCUCAUCACUCAAAAGAGAAUUAGGGGGGAUAAAUGUGAUGGAAAAAAAUAAAAUAGGAUUAGUACAUUGAUUUUUAUUAUAAUUAUAGGUAGAUCAUUAAGUAGUAUUGUAUUGUCAAUUGCUUAAAGAGCAAGGAUUUUUUCCAACAGGGUUAAGUAUCAGGAUCACCUAUAGAACUCGAAAAAUACAUAGUUAUUGCCCACCCAUCCCUGCCUAAUUCUAUAGGGUUGGAACUAAUUAUUGUGUAUUUUUUAAAUUAUAGGUGACAUGGUGGAUAUCUAUAAUACUGUAAACAGUAUUGGCAAAGAUUUUAGAUUUAUUACAAAUUAUACCCAUAAAUGAAUUGUGAUAUAUAUAGAUGAGGAAA